UCUCUCUUAUCUUGCUUUCUUAGGGUUCUGAUUAUCUUGUGAAUCUCGUGCGGGGGCUAUCAGAAGAGAACGAAUGAUGAUGAUGAUGAUGGCAACGAUGGUUCACCAAGGGAAAUGGCCUAAUUAACAGAAUGGUUGAACUGGAAAAGUUAGAUUUUCUUGUGCUCCGUGAUAUACAAAAGAGGGGAAGAUCGGUGAAAAGAAACGACAGGGAGGCAAUAAAUUAAUGGACAAACCUCUUGAUCUUGCUGUCUUAGCAGUGCCACUUUUGUCUUGUGGCUACAACCAUCUUUCUAUAUAUUUUUAAAUGCUUUUCAAAAAUUUCGUAGCUCCUUAAUUCAUGAGCUUUUUUUAGCUUAUCGCAUUGGCAUAGAUCGAUCUAGCCAACUAGAAAGAGAAAAAGAAAAUGUUAAUUAAUUAGUUAUUAUAGUUCUAAUCCACCGUCCCCAUAUAUGAUGCUAUUAUGUAUCCCUUCAUUCUAGCCAAUAUUGCAUUCUUCUAUGAAAUGAAGAUGCAAACAUGUCUACAUGUUUCCCUCAUUUAUUAAUUGUAUGUAAAUGUUUUGUAGCUUUUAUCUAUGCAAUUAUAGUCAACUACCUACCUUCCAUA